ensembl:lncRNA
GUCAAUGGGAGAAGGCUAGAAGAAUCCCACCAGCUCCUGUGCUGGAGGUGGGUAGUUUUAUGGUCCUGGGCUCCUCUCUGGCUGUUCCUGGAGAUGUUGUGUGCUUGGCUUUAUGGUUGUGGUGAAAAAGGAUCAAUCCUCUGGACUGCAGGUUGAGAAUCAAAUUGCCUGCGUGCCCUGAAGUCGGAGAAUCAAAUGAAGAAGUUUACCGCGUGGAGACUUCAAAUUUUACUUGAACUAAGUCUAAAAAAUGACCAGAGAACUUUUUACUGUGGGUCAAAUUGGGCUGUGAACCAAGCCUGCCACGUUGGAACCAAGUACUCUGGAAGCAGACUAUGGAUGUUCGACUUACAGGAAUAUGAAAGCGUGACUGCAUGUUGUCCUGCUGCUUCCUAAAUAAUGUCUCCAAGGGAAUUUAAGGAGAGAAAACACUUGGAAAUUCCUCAGUGGAGAAUAUGCCCAAGCAACUUAUCUUCUCAGUACAAAAUCUCACAUUGUGAUGGCUUUCCUAGUCCUUCCAGGAUCUGACUGGAGAAACUCCAGACAUGGAGACCUUACCAGCAUCGGGAUCUUCUGUGUGGAAGGAGCUCAACCACUGCCUUGGGGACCAACCAGGCCUGGGGAGAGAAUCGCAUUUCCAUUUUGCAGAAACAAACUGGAAAAAAUCUUAAUGAAGGUGUACAAUAUGGAAGGUUCCCUGCCAUGGAGGAUUUAUGUGCCUACGCCGUACUCGAAGAAAUUGCUCGAGUCUACUCCUCUCUUCAUUCUCGAAGAAGAAAUGAAACACCCGACUUUCCUAGCUCUUAUGCCGUUACUGACAAACUGUGAUGCAAACGGAAAGUUGAAUGUACAUUAAAUAGAGGUGUAAUGAGGCCAUAUUAGGUUCUUAUGCAUUUCAGAUAUUCUGAGUUAGACUAAUCAGUAUUUAUUUGCCUUGGUCCUCCCUAGCAGAGCACAGGUUGAGUGGGCAAUGACGGAUUUAGAGACAGAAGUUCAAAGGAUGGUCACUUUUUAUUGUCCAACAACAAAAGGAAACUGCAGUUGUUUUGAUAUUUAGGAUGGUUGUGGUGGUACGAAGGAUACUUAAAGGGAGCUUCAAAAGAUGUCUUUGUCUGUUGCUGAAAUGAAAGGGUAUUUUCUGUCUUGGUGUUAUAUUUUAUCACAAUGUACGGUUACCUUUCCAUAACAGAUCUCUUAGAAGGAGUGAGAGCUAUCGUCAGAUUAACUAAAGCCAUAUGUCUGUAGUAUAAAUCCAGAUAAUGAAGGGAAUCACACACAUGGGAGGGUGAGCAGAUGCCCUAAAGAAGAAACAGUAAGAGAAGAGCUGCAGAGCUGGAAAUCCAGGAAUCUCUCUACCAGCUAAAGUAUGACACUGUUUCCUAACAGAGAACUCGACUUUGCAUUUGGGCAGAUGCAGGCUCAGUUUUGUGCUUUUGGGUCCAGAUCAGGCAGAGCGGUGCAACGGUCCAUAGCAACAACCUAUGCGGUGGCAGUUUUAAUCUGUAGGGUUUCACAUGCUGUCAGGAGAGCUUGUGCGCUGUACAGAACGCAUGUCAGGUCUGCACUUCUCACAGGGCUCUGAUAUGAAAUUGAGCGUGACCGGCGUGCAC